rnacentral:rRNA from 1 species
ACAAUGCGGGACUAUACGUCUUGCAAUUGGAUUGAGAACAAUGUACAACUCUUAUCGAUAAGCCAUUGGAGGGCAAGUCUGGUGCCAGCAGCCGCGGUAAUUCCAGCUCCAAUAGCGUAUAUUAACGUUGUUGCAGUUAAAAAGCUCGUAGUUGAAGUGUGGGUGAUCGCUGUUGUGUGACUUCGGUCUCUCGACAGUAAGUCACCCCCUUCCAGUAUCCAGUAGUGGGUAUUCAGUUACUUACUAUUGUGUGUUGGUCGUUUACUGUGAGAAAAUUAGAGUGUUCAAAGCAGGCGUUUGCUUGAAUAGAUUAGCAUGGAAUAAUAAUUGAAGGCUUUCGUGUUCGAUUUGAUUGGUUUGUUCAUGGAAGCAAGGUUAAAAGGAACAGUUGGGGGUAUUCAUAUUCACUAGUUAGAGGUGAAAUUCUCGGAUUUAUGGAA